rnacentral:lncRNA from 1 species
GCCUCUGCUUCCCUCUUCCCAACUUGUCGUGGCUUCCAAUCUUCAUUAAUUUUAACGAAUACCAAGCUAGCAAGCAAGCUACCUCCAUUUCAUUUUCACGCAUUGCCAACCUUUCUCCAUUACAGAAGCUAACUCUUCAGUCUUCUCUACUUAAUUUGCUUCUUUUCCCACCCACAGCAAGCAGCAGCAGCAAGCCAUAUCAUUGACUUUUUUUUCUGUUAAAGUUUGUUGUUUUUUGGUUUAGCUCUCCAUUUUUCUUCUUCCACAACAAUGGGAACUUUCUCCGCCGCCUCGUUUUCCUCCCUUCUCUCUUCUUCUUCCCGGUUAUCUUCCUCCUUCCACCAUGCCCCACCACCGCUUUGUCGUAGUAGCCACUCUCUUCUUCCCCCGCCGCUUCUUCUCCCGGCCGGCGGGAGCUUCAAUCUGACGUCCCCGUCUCUUCGCCGCCGGGAUCACAUUCUGCUCGGAUCUCCACCACGU